rnacentral:rRNA from 1 species
UACGUAGGUCCCGAGCGUUGUCCGGAUUUAUUGGGCGUAAAGCGAGCGCAGGUGGUUUAUUAAGUCUGGUGUAAAAGGCAGUGGCUCAACCAUUGUAUGCAUUGGAAACUGGUAGACUUGAGUGCAGGAGAGGAGAGUGGAAUUCCAUGUGUAGCGGUGAAAUGCGUAGAUAUAUGGAGGAACACCAAUGGCGAAGGCAGGUCUCUGGGCCGUUACUGACGCUGAGGAGCGAAAGCGUGGGGAGCGAACGGG